rnacentral:rRNA from 1 species
AUUGAACGCUGGCGGUAUGCUUAACACAUGCAAGUCGAACGAGUGGCGGACGGGUGAGUAAUGUCUGGGAACCUGCCUGAUGGAGGGGGAUAACUACUGGAAACGGUAGCUAAUACCGCAUACCAUCAGAUGAACCCAUAUGGGAGUAGCUUGUAGGUGAGGUAACGGCUCACCUAGGCGACGAGCCCUAGCUGGUCUGAGAGGAUGAUGAGCCACACUGGGACUGAGACACGGCCCAGACUCCUACGGGAGGCAGCAGUGGGGAAUAUUGCAAAAUGGGGGCAAUCCUGACGCAGCCAUGCCGCGUGUAUGAAGAAGGCCUUAGGGUUGUAAAGUACUUUCAGCGGGGAGGCGUUACCCGCAGAAGAAGCACCGGCUAACUCCGUGCCAGCAGCCGCGGUAAUUC